CUACCCUUGACAUGUCUGGAAUCCUGCAGAGAUGUGGGAGUGCCCGAAAGGGAGCCAGAACACAGGUGCUGCAUGGCUGUCGUCAGCUCGUGUCGUGAGAUGUUGGGUUAAGUCCCGCAACGAGCGCAACCCUUGUCAUUAGUUGCUACGAAAGGGCACUCUAAUGAGACUGCCGGUGACAAACCGGAGGAAGGUGGGGAUGACGUCAAGUCCUCAUGGCCCUUAUGGGUAGGGCUACACACGUCAUACAAUGGCUGGUACAGAGGGUUGCCAACCCGCGAGGGGGAGCUAAUCCCAUAAAACCAGUCGUAGUCCGGAUCGUAGUCUGCAACUCGACUGCGUGAAGUCGGAAUCGCUAGUAAUCGCGGAUCAGCAUGUCGCGGUGAAUACGUUCCCGGGUCUUGUACACACCGCCCGUCACACCAUGGGAGCGGGUUCUGCCAGAAGUAGUUAGCCUAACCGCAAGGAGGGCGAUUACCACGGCAGGGUUCGUGACUGGGGUG
rnacentral:rRNA from 1 species